rnacentral:rRNA from 1 species
UACGUAGGGUGCGAGCGUUAAUCGGAAUAACUGGGCGUAAAGGGUGCGCAGGCGGUUAUGCAAGUUAAGAGUGAAAAGCCUGGGCUUAACCUGGGUCGUGCUUUUAAUACUGUAUGACUAGAGUAUGUUAGAGGGGGGUGGAAUUCCAAGUGUAGCAGUGAAAUGCGUAGAGAUUUGGAGGAACACCGAAGGCGAAGGCAGCCCCCUGGAAUAAUACUGACGCUCAGGCACGAAAGCGUGGGUAGCAAACAGG